AAGCCUGUGAUGAUUCUUUUAAAAAAGUUGGAAUUACCGACUGAAUCACCUUGAUGUGAGAUCGACUAUCUGAGGCUUCCA